AUUGGAUGUUGUAGCAGUACAGAAUUUAAAUUUUUCGUUUUAAAGUAAACAUUAGUAAAAGUUGAAACGACUGGUCAAUUAUUUCGAAUCACCAUGUGUAUACCUAAUUAUUUAAAUAGCGCGCCAUUGUAAAAAGAAAAUGGUUGAAAUAUGUUGGUAAAGUAGAUUGCGAAAAGAAGGUAGAUUAUUAUUAUUGGCGUCCCGAUUUUGGGGUAGCACGCUAGAAAUUGUGCCGGUAAUUCAUUUAAAUUACCAGUUUAAACAGUGAAUCAGUUUAAAUCAAUUACGUACAACAACAUCGCGUAGAUAAAAAAAAGUGUGGUGUUGUAUUGUGGGCGUUCGAUAACGUAAAUUCCAAGGCUAAAGCACGUGGAUGUAACCUGCAGCGAGGAAGCUACUUAAAAUACCACUCUGAAAGCCGAGAUCGUCGAUCAAUACGUGAGCAAGGUAUUUUCCUGUUUUGGCAAAUUUUAUUACCUUCGCAAUUGAACCUGCAUUAUUCCGAGUUCGAGCUACCCAUUUGUUUUGGAGUAUGAUGAGUUGCCUAUCUGCCAGCCGAAGAUCGAACAAAUAAUUAUCGAUAGCGGCUUCGCCGGAGAAGAACAACUGAUUUAUUCAGGUAUGAAGGUUUACAUAAUAAAUUCUGUACAGAAUUUAAUGGCCAAUUAAAAUACAAACGUUAUUUAAACAUCCACCACAAUUAAGUGGAAUCGGAAACGUUUUGCCGCGUUCAUAUUAUCGGACCUUAAUCGUGUUCGUUGUGUUUAUUAUCGGACCAGAUUAUUUACUUGCGUUUGCAUUCGUAGCAUGAAAUUAUUGCUGCGUGAGAUAUCCCGCCUUCGUUGUAAUAGUUGAUAAGGACCGUAUUAUUCAGUUUUACCCGUUAGUGGUAACGCACAUUUAAAUAUUUGCAUUCGUGUUUUAGAUUAUUGUUAUUAUUAGGAGCUUUUGUCGUUUUAUUUAUAGGACAGUAUUACAUCUUGAAAUAUUUUCAUACGAGUUACUUGCUCGUAACGAUUGAGAAUUUACUGUUUGAUUUCCAUUUGUGUACUAAUAAUUUAUGAGUUUUCAUGUUGUAUAGGGUGUUGCAUUAUUGCAUUAUUAUAUGUAGACCAUUCGUUUCCAUUGAAGCAUUAAUAAAUUUUGUAUUUUGUC